rnacentral:rRNA from 1 species
AGCAGCCGCGGUAAUUCCAGCUCCAAUAGCGUAUAUUAAAGUUGUUGCAGUUAAAAAGCUCGUAGUUGAAUUUCGGGAUCAAUUAAUUGGUCGUGCCUAUGGUACGUACUGAUUUUAUUGGUUUCUCCCUUCUGACGAACCAUGAUGUCAUUAAUUUGGUGUCGUGGAGAAUCAGGACUGUUACUUUGAAAAAUUAGAGUGUUUAAAGCAGGCUAACGCUUGAAUACAUUAGCAUGGAAUAAUGAAAUAGGACGUUUGAUCCUAUUUUGUUGGUUUCUAGGAUCGACGUAAUGAUUAAUAGGGAUAGUUGGGGGCAUUAGUAUUCAAUUGUCAGAGGUGAAAUUCUUGGAUUUAUUGAAGACUAACUACUGCGAAAGCAUUUGCCAAGGAUGUUUUCAUUAAUCAAGAACGAAAGUUAGGGGAUCGAAGACGAUCAGAUACCGUCGUAGUCUUAACCAUAAACUAUAGCCGACUAGGGAUCGGAUGAUGUUAAUUUUAU